CACAAAUCAUGAUGUGACCCUUUCCUUUUGUCUGAAACUGAAACCCAAAGCUUGUAGCGGCAACUACGAGUGCAGCAGUACCUACGACAUGUGUAGCGGUGGAGACGAUGAUCUCCCUUCCCUCUAUGAUUGUGACAGGCCUCGUGUCAGAGAUCAGAAGUACGAGCGGAUUUUUGCUCACCGCUGCGCAUUGCCGAAGGGGUAGAGAUGACCCCACAUGUUUGUGCAUUACGUGCCUAUCUAACUGGAAGGGAUUCAUACUUUUCGAUCCCAGACGAUGAUGAUGCAGGUACCAUGGUGCCAAUGGCUGGUGACACAAUAUCUUCUAGGAUGGAGUAUGAUGUGAGUGACUGGUGGAUGCCAGAAGUGGAGGAGCACGAUUAGGACUGUGCUUGUGACCACUGUGCUUACGCAGCACCAUGAGAUUGUACAUCAUAUUUUGGAGAC